CACUGAAUGAAUCAUUUUUAUUUUUUUUAAGCUCUUAGUACUGUUUCUGUACCAUGUUAUAUGUGUUAUUUGUCUUAUUGAAUUAUAGAUUUGAGUAUGCAUUGGCACGGUGUGGUACAGUACAGCCUGAUUGAUACUGGAUUUAUCGGACCAAUGGCAUUACCAAAAUUUGAGUUUAAUGCUUUCCUGCCUAUAGUUAAAAUGUAUGAUUGAUAUCACUCAUGUGAUCAGUAAAUAUGAAGCUAUUGUCAGCAGCUGGUUAGCUUAGAAUAUAUUCUAUAUAUCUUAUUAACCAACAUACCUUGUAUCUAUGCUGAGCUACAAUUAGCCAAUAAUAUCAGCUAAAUAACCACUGUUGAAGUGUAAAAUUGAACAGUGAGAUUGAUGAAUGUUAUGUGGUGCAAUUUACUGAUUUACAUCGACACUGUAUUCUUAAUAUUAAUCAUACUCAAACAAUAAUAACAGCUGCAUAAUAUUAACAUUAUGAAACUCCUUUAUGUUAUUUACACGUUUGAUUGACAUCUCUCGCACAAUGGUGUUUUAUAGGUACUGUAAAUGCUGCUGAUAAACUUAAUGGCUGAAAUAUAACUCACUUAAAUGGUAAAACCAGAGGAAUAGUAUGGCAAUGUAUCAAACAAAUAAUGGGCUUCAAAAAACGAUAACAAUAAAGUAUAGUAGUAUGUUUUUUGAAGGAUCUUUGGGUCGUAAUUAAAUGUGAUAAAGUGGUUUAUGUUUGAUUUAUGUGAGUUUAUGUUAUGAGUUAUGUGAGAAUGUGAUUGUUACACUGGGCAUCUGCAACCAAGUGUCAGUGUAUGUUUCUGUUGAUGUUGUGUGUUACUGCAACACCUGAACGCAACAUCUAGAUGGAGACAGAAACAGACUUGAGAGGAAGCGUGAGCUGGAAGUGAAACAAUCGCUGACAGUCGACUGAGCUCAUGCGGACAGAGGAAGUACUAAUGGCUAAAGAGGAUCUAACAGGCAAGUGUAUUUACAGAAAAAGAUGUUUGGAUGGACACUGUUGACUUUAUAUAGUACAAAACAGACUUUAGGUUAAGCUUAAAAAAAGAACAGGCUGUUGAAGACACAGAUCCCUCUACACGAGGUACGUGUUAUGUAUUAAUACAAAUAUUUCCUAUGGUUUAAUGGUAAAGUCCCUUUACUCAAUUUCCAAUCCAUCUGUGUCAGGUAUGAUUAGAGACUAUUUAAACAGG